ensembl:lncRNA
GCUUGGACACUGACUUAAGUCUUUGAUCUGCCCCAGGUGUUAAUGUUUUAGUUUAAUUAGGUUUGUUAGUUAAACCCCCUGUGUGACUGCGCACAUCGCGCAGUAUUACAGUUGGUUAGUUCGUCAAGUGAGGGAAGUAUCCGGAUAUAUGCUAAUGUGUAGCAUGCUAGCGGUCGUAGCUAGGGGACCAGAGUGAGUAUAGUCCGUAGAGACCGUGCUCCCUGUGUUUGCUUAUCUGUUUGUUUGUUUGUUUGUUUGUUUCUUGUUUAAGUAAUAAAGACGGUGACCUGCACCUGCGUCCGCAUCCAGUCUCGUUCUGUAACAACAUUCUUCUUCUUCUUCUUCUUCUUCUUCUUCUUCUUCUUGUCGAUGUAACAUGCCCCAACCCUGCCCCAAACCUGUAUAUCAUAUUACAUUGAAUGCAGUUGCUUAGUGACGUGCAUGAUGCAAGGCGACGACUAGACUGUGCUUGGCCCUCUGAAAGGAAAUUUUAUAUUCAAAAUGCAUCCGGAUGGAAGCACUAAUAAGUCCAAAGUUUUUUGUGCCCUCUGCAAUAAGGAAUACCAUUGAACCAAUUCUAAAGUGAAAUACCACCUGAAAUUCAAACAUAUUUUAGCUAGCUCUACAGUUAGCACAACCCCAGCUGCUACGGUAAACGUGGUGUGCCAAACCACAAUGACUGAGAGCAGGCAGCAUAGUAGUAAGUCUACAUCAGAAAAAAUGACAAAUGCGAUAGCUAAAUGGGUUGUUACAGAAGCCCUAUGCGGCCAUGCAUUAUUUUUUUUUUUUUUUCUUGUUUUCUCAUGAUCGCAAAAAAAAUUUCUCGUGAUCGCGAAAUAAUGUAAUAGUUGUUUUCUCAUGAUAUUGACAUAACAAAAGUUGUUUCUGUGGACUGUGGGCCUGUUAAAAUGGUGGAAGGGGGUUGAUGGAAGCAUUCUGAAUUGCAUCUUCCGAUACAACCUAAGACUUUAUGUGUAAUAAAUUCUAUGUUGAAUCCAUCCAUCCAUUUUCUGUACCACUUAUCCUACACAGGGUUGCCGUGAGCCUGGAGCCUAUUCCAGGGGACUCAGGGCACAAGACGGGGGACAACUUUGACAAUGUGCACAAUCACACACACAUUCACACACCAUGGACAAUUUGGAAAUGACAAUUAGCCUACAACGCAUGCCUUUCCACUGGGGGAGGAAACCAGAGUACCCAGAGGAAAACCUAACUAGACCUAGCUGGAGAAAUUAGGUCCACUUAUUCUGACACUGAGAAUAUUAAGAAUUAUGGCACUAAUCAUAAAACUCUUUUGCAAUCCUAAAAUAAAUAGUGAUGAAUGAAAUUCUUCAUUACCACAUAGUAGAUUUUAUCAGUAGUUUGAAGAGUUUAUCAUGCUGAGGUUAUUGUGUACUAACUUAAGAUUACUUGCUGUAGCAAACUGGAGACACAGAAAAUGCUUAACAGGUUGGUCUGAAAGGCAGUGGUGAAAAAUGCAUACAAAACCUUUUUUGAUGGUCUUUGUUGCAAUUGAUGUACUCUUGAAUAAUACCUGUAGUUGCCAGUUUAUCUAGUAAUCUAACUUAUUAAUCAUUAAACAUUUCUUAAAUAACUUUUAUUUUUGAACUUUGAACUUGAAAUUAUGUUAUGUAAAAGAGGCUAUUGAUUGACUAUUACCUAUAUUUGACCACCAGUAAUAUAAGAGUGCCAUUUUUAUUGCAGUUUUGUGUUGUUCUAUUUUACUUUUGGUGUAUUACAAACUAAAACUAUUUGUUUUUAUAAUAUUGCUGCAUGAGACUUUAAACAUCCAGCUGCAGAGGUGGUGGAUCCACAUAAAAACUGCGUUCCGGAACACAGGUCUUAUAUAUUUUAGAGGUGCCAGAUCCUGUUCCGGCAGGAUCCAGCUAAAAUUAAGCUCUGAUUAUAAGGUGGCAUUUCUUUUGUUAUAAUUAAAUGACUAGUUUAGACUAGCCAAGCACUGAAGAUGCAUAGGCAGGUAUUGGUUUCGUUAGUGUUCUUUCUUCUUCUUCCGCUCUUGAGUCUAUGGCAGCUCAUAGAAUUGCUUGCAGAAAAGUUAUGAAAUGUGGCACACAGAAUGAGCACAGUCUCAAGAUUAACCAAAACAAUUUUGGAGUUUCUAUCUCCAACCCUCUAGUGCCACUAACAGUUCAAACUCACUCACUCAGCUCACUCACAUUUAUGCUAAUAACUUUUGAACAGUGCUAGAAACAAAAAAAUUGUUUUAAGAUUCCUUAACUCGUGCCGAGUCAAAUGGACCCGAAUGGACGCCCGGCUAGAUUUAGAAUUUUUUUCAGAACUUUUUCAGACUCCUCCUAGACGAUUCAAUCAAUUUUCACAAAAUUCCAAAGAGAUCAUCUUCAGAAUAUGCUGUAAAAAAGUUUUUGAUAGAAUAAACAAUGCGCUAACGAAUCCGAAGGCAAGUAUGCCAAAAUGGAGGUGAGGCUAUAUCUUCAAAAUGCUUUAGCAUUGUCAUGAAUCAGAGAAGGAACUCUGACUACAGUUCCCAGCAGCCCCUGUUUCAAUGUCAUAUGACCACCUGCACCUGAUUCACAUUUUGGUUAACAGGCACAAGUAUAUGGCCACUGUUUGCACUGCAUGUCGUCUUACUUUUGUCUUACUUACCUUUGUCUCUGCUGCUGGGUUUUUGUCUUUGGUGUGUGUUUAGGCUUUGCCAGAGUGUUUUGCCUUAGAGUUAUAGUGUCUUUGCAUUUUGUUUGUUUCUUUAUUAAACCUUUAAAAUUCUGCAUUUGCAUCCGUAUCAACUUCGUACCAUGACAAGCAUAUUCAUACCAAACUUAAUAUUUGUCAUAGCCAUCAUGACUAUGUGUACAGUUUCAGAACAGAGAAACCUAGUGGUCAUGAGAUAUUUAAAAAAAAAAUAAUAAUAAAUUUUGCUUAUAAAUUUUGAAUGGUUUGUCCUAAAAUCAUGAAACUGGUCUCUACCGAUUCAGUGGGGGUAUAACAAGUUGUUUGAUGUUACAUUUUCCUAUGUCAGCCAUUUUGUGUUUCUGCCUUUUUGAAUUUAGUCUAAAAUGCUGUAUUUUUAUGAACAACGGAGCAUAGUUGCUAAAAUUGGUAGGUAUCAUCAGGACCAUGCCCCGAAAGUACUCAAAAAGUUUCAGGACAG